rnacentral:misc_RNA from 1 species
GAUGAAGAACGUAGCGAAAUGCGAUAAGUAAUGUGAAUUGCAGAAUUCAGUGAAUCAUCGAAUCUUUGAACGCACAUUGCGCCCGCCAGUUUUCUGGCGGGCAUGCCUGUCUGAGCGUCAUUUCAACCCUCAUGCCCCUAGGGCGUGGUGUUGGGGAUCGGCCAAAGCCCGCGAGGGACGGCCGGCCCCUAAAUCUAGUGGCGGACCCGUCGUGGCCUCCUCUGCGAAGUAGUGAUAUUCCGCAUCGGAGAGCGACGAGCCCCUGCCGUUAAACCCCCAACUUUCCAAGGUUGACCUCAGAUCAGGUAGGAAUACCCGCUGAACUUAAGCAUAUCAAUAAGCGGAGGA